rnacentral:lncRNA from 1 species
GUAAGUCCACUUGUUAAGAGAUUAUGAAGAAUUUCAAGGGGAUAUCAGUGCAUUAAACAGAGUUAGGACCUUCUGAGUUCCCUGUGUGAUUGCAUAGGUUGUACACCUCCGAAGCCAGCCCUGCUUCCAUGUUUCUCCAGUUUACCUAAUGGUAAGAAUUACCUUGGGAAGGUGCUUUGAUUUUACAGACUUCUAUGUCUUUCUCCAGGAUAAUCCAAUAGAGGGGGUUGGGGUGGAGCUCUGGAAUCUAUUCCUUUUUAUUAGAAAUAGAGUCUUGCUCUGUCACCCAGGCUGGAGUGCCGUGGCACAAUCAUGGCUCACUGCAGACUUGAACUCCUGGGCUCAAGCAAUCUUCUCAUCUUAGCCUUCCAAAUAGCUGAGACUGCAGGUCUGGCUAAUUAAUGUGUUUUUUUUUUUUUUUUUUUUUUUUUUUUUUUUUUUUUUGUAGAGAUGAGGGGUCUUGCUAUGUUGCACAGGCUGGUCUUGAACUCUUGGCCUCAAGUGAUCCUCCCACCUUGGCCUCCCAAAGUGCUAGGAUUACAAGUGUGAGCCACCACCCCUGCCCAGGAAUCUGUGUUUUUAACAGGCACCCUAGGCUGUGAUCCUGGAACUGAACAUCUGAUGAGUCAAUACAGGGCACGGAGUAGGACUUUGAAGUCCUCCAUUGGAUCUUCUCGGAAGAUGAGGGAAAUGAGAGAGUGUGGAGAGAGAUUUUGUAAGUCCGGUCUGGAAGUGGUCAUUGUUCAGAAUCCAGCCACGUGGGUACAUGGAACUGUAAGGCUAUUUCAACAUGGGAAACUGAAAUCGGGCAUAUCCCUGCGGAAGAAGCUGUCUCUUAGCGAAGAAUAAAACUGUGGACUGACCCCCACCCAUUUGCGAAGAAAGUACUGGGUCUUCAGCUUUCAUUGUUCAGCCGGUGGUCUUUGUGGACAACACCAGGGGCCCCUCCUGCUGAAGACUGUCUGGACUUCCUGAUUUUCACUCCUGUAUAAACCCCCUCCCCCAUUACUACCUUUGUCUCCUUGGGGAAAAAAAAUGUUUUUCACUUAAGCAAAAUAAUAACUACCCAGUAUUUGUUUCUGGAGUGAAAUUGUAAACUUCAUUGUACAUUCUUCCUGGCUUUGAUGCUUAUCGUGAAGAGUUCAGUGAAAAUAAAUUGUUUUUAUGAAAGCAGAGAAACCAUUUGAUAAACACGCUGUCUCUGAAAAUCGUUCCUGCAAAAGAGGUCAUUCUUUCACUUUAAAAGAAAUAGAAUAUAUUUCAGAAAACAGGCAGGACAACAUACAAAUUUUUUUUUAAGGCAGAGUGUAAAUACAGUGAAAAUUGCACACCUCCUGAUUGUGUGGAGUGUUUUGG